rnacentral:rRNA from 1 species
AGAGUUUGAUCAUGGCUCAGGAUGAACGCUGGCGGCGUGCCUAACACAUGCAAGUCGAGCGAUCUUCUUCGGAAGAGAGCGGCGGACGGGUGAGUAACGCGUGGGUAACCUGCCUCAUACACAUGGAUAACAUACCGAAAGGUAUGCUAAUACAAGAUGAUAUAAGAGAUUCGCAUGGAUUUCUUAUCAAAGCUUUUGCGGUAUGAGAUGGACCCGCGUCUGAUUAGCUAGUUGGUAAGGUAACGGCUUACCAAGGCGACGAUCAGUAGCCGACCUGAGAGGGUGAUCGGCCACAUUGGAACUGAGACGCGGUCCAAACUCCUACGGGAGGCAGCAGUGGGGAAUAUUGCACAAUGGGCGAAAGCCUGAUGCAGCAACGCCGCGUGAGCGAUGAAGGCCUUCGGGUCGUAAAGCUCUGUCCUCAAGGAGGAUAAUGACGGUACUUGAGGAGGAAGCCCCGGCUAACUACGUGCCAGCAGCCGCGGUAAUACGUAGGGGGCUAGCGUUAUCCGGAUUUACUGGGCGUAAAGGGUGCGUAGGUGGUUUCUUAAGUCAGGAGUGAAAGGCUACGGCUUAACCGUAGUAAGCUCUUGAAACUGGGAAACUUGAGUGCAGGAGAGGAAAGUGGAAUUCCUAGUGUAGCGGUGAAAUGCGUAGAUAUUAGGAGGAACACCAGUAGCGAAGGCGGCUUUCUGGACUGUAACUGACACUGAGGCACGAAAGCGUGGGGAGCAAACAGGGUUAGAUACCCUGGUAGUCCACGCCGUAAACGAUGAGUACUAGGUGUCGGGGGUUACCCCCCUCGGUGCCGCAGCUAACGCAUUAAGUACUCCGCCUGGGGAGUACGCUCGCAAGAGUGAAACUCAAAGGAAUUGACGG